ACCCCAUGAUAUUAAGCCGGCUUCUUGGAUAUUUUUUCCAGUCCAUAGAAGUGACUAUGAGUGGGAACAUCAGCCUCUGAUGUGUGUAUGUUGUGUAUGUUCUAUUGACAUCUCAGCAAAGAGAAAACGACAGAAA